rnacentral:rRNA from 1 species
UGGGGAAUAUUGCACAAUGGGCGAAAGCCUGAUGCAGCAACGCCGCGUGAGGGAUGACGGCCUUCGGGUUGUAAACCUCUUUUAGUAGGGAAGAAGCGAAAGUGACGGUACCUGCAGAAAAAGCACCGGCUAACUACGUGCCAGCAGCCGCGGUAAUACGUAGGGUGCAAGCGUUGUCCGGAAUUAUUGGGCGUAAAGAGCUCGUAGGCGGUUUGUCGCGUCUGCUGUGAAAUCCCGAGGCUCAACCUGGGGUCUGCAGUGGGUACGGGCAGACUAGAGUGUGGUAGGGGAGAUUGGAAUUCCUGGUGUAGCGGUGGAAUGCGCAGAUAUCAGGAGGAACACCGAUGGCGAAGGCAGAUCUCUGGGCCAUUACUGACGCUGAGGAGCGAAAGCAUGGGGAGCGAACA